rnacentral:rRNA from 1 species
UACGUAGGGGGCGAGCGUUGUCCGGAUUUAUUGGGCGUAAAGAGCGUGUAGGCGGCCCGGUAAGUCCGCUGUGAAAGUCGGGGGCUCAACCCUCGGAUGCCGGUGGAUACUGUCGGGCUUGAGUACGGAAGAGGCGAGUGGAAUUCCUGGUGUAGCGGUGAAAUGCGCAGAUAUCAGGAGGAACACCAAUUGCGAAGGCAGCUCGCUGGGACGUUACUGACGCUGAGACGCGAAAGCGUGGGGAGCAAACAGG